GAUGAACGCUGGCGGCGUGCAUAACACAUUCAAGUCGAACGGUGAGGGGGCUUCGGCCCCUGAACAGUGGCGGACGGGUGAGUAACGCGUGAGUAACCUGCCUGUGCGUGUGGAAUAACACAGGGAAACUUGUGCUAAUACCGCAUAAUAUGUAUUUUUCGCAUGUAAGAUACAUCAAAGAGCAAUUGCGCAUAGAUGGACUCGCGUCUGAUUAGAUAGUUGGUGAGGUAACGGCUCACCAAGUCGACGAUCAGUAGCCGAACUGAGAGGUUGAACGGCCACAUUGGAACUGAGAAACGGUCCAGACUCCUACGGGAGGCAGCAGUGGGGAAUAUUGGGCAAUGGACGAAAGUCUGACCCAGCGACGCCGCGUGAGGGAAGAAGGUCUUCGGAUUGUAAACCUCUGUUGUAAGGGAAGAAGAAAGUGACGGUACCUUACGAGGAAGCCACGGCUAACUACGUGCCAGCCGCCGCGGUAAAAC
rnacentral:rRNA from 1 species